AUAGCCGACGUUGACAGACGAUUGCGCCGACGUCGGAGCAAUUGGAGACCAAGCAGAAUACACAAACAUUCUCUGGUACAAGUGCACUGGCAAUACGGCUAUCGACGUUGGCGCCGACUGAGAAUGUCGACGUAACCACUUGUCAAAGUUUGCACUUUAUAGAAAAAUUCUCCAAGUUAAAAUUGGAGCUCGAUACGAACGGACGUGUGUAGACGGUAAUUUGCGCGAUACAAUAUAAUUUUCUUUCCAACUCAAGUGUAUAUGUAUUAACCAAAUUUAAAUUUGAUGAAAAGCCAAAAACGUUUAAAGAGUAAAAAAAAAAUACUAGCUACCGCAAAAGUAAGUUUGCCACUACGCAAUAAUUGAUAAAAAUAUCACUUUGAAAUACGUCAAAAAUUUGACAAUAAUAAAGUUCUCAAACUAAGUUGAAAUAGAAAAUUUCACACCAGAAAGAAUUUUUGUAUAAAUUUGUGCAGAGAUUGCAUUAAUUGAACAUAAAAAAUUAAAAAAAAAUUGUAACAAAAUUUAAGUGUAAAAGCUACAAAAUUGCCAAAUGAAGUGAGUAAUAUAAGCGUGUUUGUGAAAAGUGAGAAAAUUUAGUAAAUGAAAAGUGCAAAAACACAAUUGUUGAAGUUCAAAACAUUGGGGAUACACGUAAACAGCAUCGAACAACAACAAACAGUAUUGACUGCAUUACAAGCAACAAUACGCAAUAGAAGUACGAAAUACGCGCGGCCCAAAAUAGCGUUGGUGGCUAAGAGGAAAAGGCAGCGACAGCAAUUAGCAGUUGUGCAAUUUUCAUGCUUGUUAUAAAAACAACAAGGCUCUUUGGGAAACGACAAUCUUCGGAGUGGUUCGGUGUCUAAAUUGAAAGUCAUAAGUGAUUCGUGAAUAGUGUCCAAAGCAAGUGAAUGUGUA